AUACGGAGGGUCCGAGCGUUAUCCGGAAUCAUUGGGUUUAAAGGGUCCGUAGGCGGGAAUCUAAAUCAGUGGUGAAAUCUUGCAGCUCAACUGUAAAAUUGCCAUUGAUACUGGAUUUCUUGAAUUAGUGUGAAGUGGUUAGAAUGUGUAGUGUAGCGGUGAAAUGCAUAGAUAUUACACAGAAUACCAAUUGCGAAGGCAGAUCACUAACACUAUAUUGACGCUGAGGGACGAAAGCGUGGGGAGCGAACAGGAUUAGAAACCCCAGUAGUCC
rnacentral:rRNA from 1 species